AAUAACAAUCAUACUUAUACUCCCAAUAGAUGGCAAUCACAAAUUCAGGGUCGUAUAGUGCAUGUAAGAGAGAAUUGAGAAAUAUCAAUAAUAGUGCAAAUCUGGACGAAGUAUUUGUUGCACUUAUAUUGGUUAUAAUGUGAUCACAUCCAAUAUGCUGAUUGAUAAAAUAGUGAUAAAAAAAUAACAGUUUAUUUAAGCCCAAUAGGUUAAAAACAAUAUAACAAAAUAUGGUCACACUAUAAUUUAGCAAGAAUAUGCAACCAGGUUGCUGUUUUACAAGAUUAAAUGGUGAGUAUAACGGUACAUGUACCCGCUACUCACAACCACACUUUAUCACAAUGGGGGAUUCCCAUGUAGAUCCGUAGUUUCGGCGGUAUCCGUCUGGUGGACUUUAUGCUUUAAGCUGUGUGGCUGCCGUUCGUAUUUCCCAGUCGCGCUUAGCUCCACCCACCUGGAUGCGUAACUACAUCACGUCUACGCGUUUGUGAUUGCCAUCUAUUGGGAGUAUAAGUAUGAUUGUUAUUUGAUUUUUUUCUAUGCAUGUGGUAUGGGGUUUUUCACCUAAACAUUGCUCCAUUUCUUGAAAUUUGAUAAUAUGUUCUGAGAUGUGGUGAAGGGUGUCCAUCGAAGUGUGUAGCUGAAGUAUUAUUCUAAGCUUUUUCAAAUUUGAUGAUUAUUAAUUUUAUGAGAUAGACAAUAGGCAAUAGGCAAUAUUUUCCCAUUUAAAACCUAGUUGUCAUUUAGCGCUCCGAUAUAUCCUAAUUUUUGCAUUGUUUCUGUUUUGGCAGCUGUAGCCACUGCUCCUCUGGCUUUGACUCACACAGCCAACAUUAUGAUGGUUUUCUUACAGCACAGUAUGUUUAAUUUAGGAUUUCUUAUCUCCUGCUCUGUUAUCCCUCUUUGAGUUCUUAAAAUUCAAAAAUAAUAACCAUUUCUUUACCUUUUAUUCAACGCAGAGAAACAGUAUUUGCAGCUGCCUGAUCCACUACCUUUUUCAUCAGCAUGCUUGCUGGUUUCUUGUCCAACCAACGCAUGCGUAUGUCGCGUUCCAACAAAUCAAAUACUUCUCAUAAAGAAGUACUGAGCCAAACGGCAUGGUGCUUAUAACAUCCUUUUAACUGAACUUUGAUCACACUCAGGAAACUACUGCAAUCAGGCCGUUAAAAAAACAAGAUAUAGGACAUUCUCAUUUAAACAGGGCAAUAAAGGAAGUUUAGAAAUUAGAUCUAUGGUUAAAGGAAGUGUAUAGGGGAGCUGUAUAAGUUACAGCCAGGGAAGGUGUGGCCAUGGCUGCAUAAACAAAAUAAUUUAAUAAUUUAAUGACAGAAAAUUAAGCAGUGAGGCAGCAGAGGCAUGAUGCAUACAAAAAACACUUUAUUAAGCUAAAGUUGUUCUGGUGCUUAGACUGUCCCUUUAAUCUUAAUUGACAUAUUUAUUUCCAAUAUUUAAUAUUUCACUCAUUGUUUAUAUGUAUAUCAGUGAUUUGCCAUUUUUCAUUUUUGAUAUACCACAUUUCAUAAUAGAUAUCAUAAUGCAUUAUAUGUCUGCCUCCCAACCCCCCAUCUUGAUGCUUACCGUAAACCAUGGAAGGUCAGUCUAAGCAUGUGUGUGUCAAGAGUCUUGUGCAUAAUGUGUGCAUUUAAUCACUUGGCCCAUUUCUAUCACUGUUUCCUUGAGGUCUGGAGUUGUUUCAAUGAUACAGAGCACUGUCAUGGCAUCAUGUGCCUGAGACUGGUAUCACCGAAUCAGUAAAGCACUUUGAGCAGAGGAGGAGCAUCAUUUAUGAGGGUUUUACACAAACAGGGGUCAAUGUGGGACAGGUAAAAUAGAGGCUAGGUAACCUGUCUAAAAAGGGCCCUCUAUACAUAUAUCCAAACACAAAACAGAUACGUGUUAAGAUGAAACAUCAAUUUAAAUUUUGUCUCUACUUUAGUUUCCUGUCAAUCAUUGUUAUAAGCUCUGCCGUUUCCGCCUGUCAGUCAGCAUAGAGAUAGGAAGAGAUAAGAAGAUAGAAAGAAACAUUAUUAUUUAGUUUCUCCUUCCUCAAUGCAAUGCAUGCCCUGGCUGUGCCUAGACUGAACUGGAUUGUGAUGUCAAUUUAAAAUACACAUUUAAAACAAUAUGGAGCCUCACAUGAAAAACAUGUUAACACAAGUUGUGAGUGGUACUCACUGUUUUAUUUGACGGUGUAACUUUCUCUCAUAACAUAUUUUUUUGCAAAGUGAAGCGGCACUACGACUGGUAAAACAUUCAUUAUUAGUUAUAUUGGAAUUAUUAUCAGAUCAUAGUAAGAUUUCCAGGUAGAUCCCUCCUUAUUUCUAAAGGAAUAUAAAAACCAGUGCAGAUGUUCAUAGAUUGUUUUUAAUUACGAUAUAAUAAAAGUUUUAGAUGUUGUACAAUGAUCAAUUGAUCAAUGAGCAUCCUUAUUUUAUUUUUAAGCUUAUACACAAUUACAGUUUUGGUAAAGUGGAGUUAAGGAAGUCUGCAACAUGUCAGAGAACGUGGAUGUAUGGAUAUGUUUAUAGUGACUUGUAUUUAAAGUGGACUUGUCCAAUAAAAAAACAAAACAAUAUUUGCAUUAUUUAAUAAUACAUGUUUUCUUACUUUUGCUGUCUCUCGUUCUUAGAACAUGACAAUUGACUUCACAUCCUACCUUAAUAUUCCUCUUUGUAAUGUUUCUAAAACUGGUGCAAGAAUCAAAAACGAGAAGAGAUGCUUAGAUGUUGGCACUGAUGAUUCACUGUAUUACAACUUUUAUGACUGUCCCAAGACAAAAUAGAAAAUGGAAAACUAAUCAACACUAGGAAAAUCAUGAAAACACGCAUGUACAUAGAUAUGCUUCAAAUGUGAACCUUUGUGAUGUCAGAUUGCAACAUUUCAUAAAAACAAUCGGUACUGUUCUGGAUUUAAAAAAAAUACCUAAGGUCUCAGAUUGGAUAGGUCCACUUUAAAUUCUACAUCAGAAAUCCCGAAUGUGAAUCAACCUGCUACACUGUGGAUUUUGUGGAUAACAUUAAUAUUUAUAGUUUGAAUGCAGAAUAAAUUGACAAGAAUUAAAUGCAAAAGCUUUUUAUCAAGGUUUGUUUUCAGUUUAACAUUUUACAUGUUGGCAGGAGAAGCCUUGCUAGAUUGUGGUCUACUUACCGUGUAUUCAACCAUUUCACAUCUCUGUUACAUUUCCAUUUGUGUCUGAUGUUUUACUUAUUUUUUUCAAAUAAAACUGUAUAUAUAAUUUUCUCAA